AGCCGUCUGCAGGAGUCGACUAUUGGAAAUGCACCAGCAGAGGGCGCGAGAGCCCCACCAGUCCCUGCCCACUGACCUCUCCAGGAGGAGCUGCAAGGAAAGCCAGAGAACCCACAGUAGAGAAAAGGAAUGGAGGAAGGACACUAUGGAAGAGAAGAAUUGGAGAGAUGAGCAGGAAUAAGAGGACCUUGGGGAAGAAGUAAAGUUGGGUUUCAACCCCUGCUCAGUGAUAAAAUAUUAAACCUUAAAAAGUUUGUCUCUGGCAUCCUCCCAUUUCCUUUUCUAGACCCUGACUUGGGUCUAGA
rnacentral:lncRNA from 1 species